UACGUAGGGGGCUAGCGUUGUCCGGAAUCAUUGGGCGUAAAGAGCGUGUAGGCGGCCCGGUAAGUCCGCUGUAAAAGUCAAAGGCUCAACCUUUGAAUGUCAGUGGAUACUGCCGGGCUAGAGUCCGGAAGAGGCGAGUGGAACUCCUGGUGUAGCGGUGGAAUGCGCAGAUAUCAGGAGGAACACCCAUUGCGAAGGCAGCUCGCUGGGACGUUACUGACGCUGAGACGCGAAAGCGUGGGGAGCAAACAGG
rnacentral:rRNA from 1 species